CUGGCGGCGUGCUUCAUACAUGCAAGUCGAACGAGAAGUACCUUCGGGUAAUGGAAAGUGGCGGACGGGUGAGUAAUGUGUAGAGAAUCUGCCCUAGAGUGGGGACAACAGUUGGAAACGACUGCUAAUACCGCAUAUGAGCGUAGCUGGAAUGCUAUUCUUGAAAACUUCGGUGCUCUGGGAUGAGUCUGCAUCUGAUUAGCUAGUUGGCGGUGUAAUGGACCACCAAGGCGACGAUCAGUAGCUGGUUUGAGAGGAUGAUCAGCCACAAUGGGACUGAGACACGGCCCAUACUCCUACGGGAGGCAGCAGUAGGGAAUUUUGCGCAAUGGGCGAAAGCCUGACGCAGCAACGCCGCGUGAUUGAAAAAGCCCUUCGGGGUGUAAAGAUCUGUCAGUAGGGACGAAACUUGACGGUACCUACAGAGGAAGCAUCGGCUAACUCCGUGCCAGCCGCGGC
rnacentral:rRNA from 1 species